UACAGGGGGAUAACAGCUGGAAACAGCUGCUAAUACCGCAUAAUGCAGUUGGGUCGCAUGGCUCUGACUGCCAAAGAUUUAUCGCUCUGAGAUGGACUCGCGUCUGAUUAGCUAGUUGGCGGGGUAACGGCCCACCAAGGCGACGAUCAGUAGCCGGACUGAGAGGUUGGCCGGCCACAUUGGGACUGAGACACGGCCCAGACUCCUACGGAAGGCAGCAG
rnacentral:rRNA from 1 species